rnacentral:rRNA from 1 species
UUGAUCUGCUCAGAACGACGCUGCGGCAGGUCUAACACAUGCAAGUCGAACGGUUCCUUCGGGAAUAGUGGCGCACGGGUGAGUAACGCGUGGGAAUAUACCCUUGACUGCGGAAUAAUAUCUGGAAACGGAUACUAAUACCGCAUAAUGACUCCGGUCCAAAGAUUUAUCGGUCAAGGAUUAGCCCGCGUAUGAUUAGCUAGUUGGUGAGGUAACGGCUCACCAAGGCGAUGAUCAAUAGGGGGUCUGAGAGGAUGAUCCCCCACACUGGUACUGAGACACGGACCAGACUCCUACGGGAGGCAGCAGUGAAGAAUAUUGGACAAUGGAGGAAACUCUGAUCCAGCCAUGCCGCGUGUGUGAAGAAGGCCUUAGGGUUGUAAAGCACUUUCAAUUGUGAAGAUAAUGACGGUAACAAUAGAAGAAGCCCCGGCUAAAUUCGUGCCAGCAGCCGCGGUAAUACGAAUGGGGCAAGCGUUGUUCGGAAUCACUGGGCUUAAAGCGUGCGUAGGCGGACAUGAAAGUCAGAUGUGAAAGCCCAGGGCUCAACCCUGGAACUGCAUUUGAAACUCCAUGUCUAGAAACCCGGAGGGGCCAGUAGAAUUCCUAGUGUAGAGGUGAAAUUCGCAGAUAUUAGGAGGAAUACCAGUGGCGUAGGCGACUGGCUGGACGGGUAUUGACGCUGAGGUACGAAAGCGUGGGGAGCAAACAGGAUUAGAUACCCUGGUAGU